AGAGUUUGAUCCUGGCUCAGGGUUAACGCUGGCGGUAUGUUUAAUACAUGCAAGUUGUGCGCAAUUUUUUUAAAAUUGAGCGGCGAACGGGUGAGUAACACGUUGGAACCUGCCCCGGACUCAGGGAUAACCUGCCGAAAGGUUUGGUUAAUACCGGAUAGUCCCGCAAGGGUAAAGCUUUUGCGGUCCGGGAGGGGCCUGCGGCCUAUCAGCUUGUUGGUAAGGUAAAGGCUUACCAAGGCUAUGACGGGUAGCUGGUCUGAGAGGAUGACCAGUCACAAUGGGACUGAGACACGGCCCAUACUCCUACGGGAGGCAGCAGUAAAGAAUCUUCCGCAAUGGGCGAAAGCCUGACGGAGCAAUACCGCGUGAGCGAAGAAGGCCGAAAGGUUGUAAAGCUCUUUUCUGAGAGAAGAAUUCUGACGGUACCUUAGGAAUAAGCACCGGCUAACUCCGUGCCAGCAGCCGCGGUAAUACGGAGGGUGCAAGCGUUACCCGGAAUUAUUGGGCGUAAAGCGUCUACAGGCGGUAAACUAAGUCGAAUAUUAAAUCUUGAAGCUCAACUUCAAGGCCGUAUUUGAAACUGGUUUGCUAGAGAUUUUCAGAGGCAUGUGAAAUUCUGUGUGUAGGGGUAAAAUCCGUAGAUACACAGAGGAACACCAAAAGCGAAAGCAGCAUGCUGGGAAAAUUCUGACGCUUAUGGACGAAAGCGUGGGUAGCGAACGGGAUUAGAUACCCCGGCAGUCCACGCCGUAAACUAUGGAUACUAGGUGUUGGAAGGCUCGACCCUUUCAGUGCCGACGCUAACGCAUUAAGUAUCCCGCCUGGGAAGUACGGUCGCAAGAUUAAAACUCAAAGGAAUAGACGGGGACCCACACAAGCGGUGGAGCACCUGGCUUAAUUCGAUAAUGAGCGAGGAACCUUACCUGGGCUUGACAUCCUGGGAAUUCUCUGGAAACAGAGAAGUACCUUAUGGAACCCAGAGACAGGUGCUGCAUGGUUGUCGUCAGUUCGUGCCUUGAGGUGUUCGGUUAAGUCCGUAAACGAGCGCAACCCAUGUCCUGUGUUGUUAUUUCACAGGAGACUGCCGAUUAAAAGUCGGAGGAAGAUAUGGAUGACGUCAAAUCAGCAUGGCCCUUAUGCCCAGGGCUGCACAGGUGCUACAAUGGCCGAUACAGUGGGUAGCAAUGUCGCAAGACGGAGCCAAUCCCUAAAGUCGGUCUAAGUUCGGAUUGAGGGCUGCAACCCGUCCUCAUGAAGUUGGAAUCGCUAGUAACCGCGGAUCAUCAACGGCGCGGUGAAUGUGUUCCUGGGUCUUGUACUCACCGCCCGUCACACUAUGAAAGGUGGGGGCACCCGAAAUACCCUUAGCUUCAAGCGGGGUCCUAAGGUGAAACCACUGAUUGGAGUGAAGUCGUAACAAGGUAACC
rnacentral:rRNA from 1 species